rnacentral:rRNA from 1 species
CACGUAGGGUGCGAGCGUUGUCCGGAAUUAUUGGGCGUAAAGAGCUCGUAGGCGGUGUGUCGCGUCGGCCGUGAAAACCUGCAGCUUAACUGUGGGCGUGCGGUCGAUACGGGCAUCACUGGAGUUCGGCAGGGGAGACUGGAAUUCCUGGUGUAGCGGUGAAAUGCGCAGAUAUCAGGAGGAACACCGGUGGCGAAGGCGGGUCUCUGGGACGUCACUGACGCUGAGACGCGAAAGCGUGGGGAGCAAACAGG